CCCCACCGUGUUCAGGGACAACCCUGUGAUCAUGGUUUUGGUCACAUAGCUUCCAAGUGAGUGUUGUGCAAACAUUUGCUAGGAUCUCUCGGGGAGCCUGUUAGAAAAGAAACUCCUGAGCCUGCUCCAGAGCUUCUGUUCAGCAGGCCUGAGGUGGGACCAUACACCUGUCUUUUCAGCAAGCCCCCCCCCACCUCUGAGGAUGCACCCCAAAGCUAGAGAAUUCCUGCUCUGAGCCAUCUCUGAAAGCACCAAGAGCCAGCUCACGGAGGAGAUGCCAGCUCACGGAGGAAAAUCUGGAAGGUGUUGAAGCAUAGACGCUGGAACAUAAAAUGACUCAUGAUCUCACUGGGAGAAGGGCUGGGAACAUCGUGGGCUCUCUUCUCCCCGCGCUCCUCUCUCCGGGUCUCUGUUUCCCUCAUUCCACGAUGUUUAGAACCAUCGGCGCACUACAUCAGACUAGAGGUCUGGGGUCACCCGACCAUCCCGCCACAAGCCCCUCCGAGGCAUCACUGUGUCCAGAUUUUGCAAACUGCACCUCCUGAAGGGGCUGGGGUCUGUCCACUUCGCCCCAUCUGCCGUGGCAGCACUUCCUCCGUGGUUCGCACCCCCACAGCAGCCUCCUGGGAAGGCACCUCCCUGGGGCCCCUCUCAGUCCACGGUGUGGAUAUGGUGAGUUCUUAAACCAUGAACUUCUGAUUUCACAGCUCUGCUUGAAGCCUUCAAUGUCAGGCUUCCUGUUGCUCUUAAGAUAAUGAUCAAAACUCUCAACAAAGUUCCCCUGAUAAAUGCUCUCAACGUGCCCCCCACCACAGCAUCCCUAACUGUAAUGAAUACAUCAUUGGUCCUCACGGCAGCGGAUUAAUCGUCUGUGAGUGUUGGUUUAAUCUUUCUCUUCUGGAGUUUAGCUGUCACUGCCAUAUCCCCAGCACGGAGCACAAUGACAUGUUUAUAUGUAGAAAAUUGAGCGAAAAAUAAAAACAGCUAACAUUUGGGUACUUAUUAUCUUCCAGGCAGCAAGCUAUGCAUUUUGCAUAUAUUAGCAAAUCCAUGAGGCAGGUGCUGUCUUCAUUGUACAGGUCAGGAAGAUUCCUGCAGCUGCUGAGUUAGUACUUUUAAGAAAGUACUGGAUUCCCUCUCACAAUGGGACUUUGAUUUUUUUAAGAAAAAGGUUUCAUAAGUUUUCAAAUAACCUGGAGCAGUUGAGCAAACUUAAUGUGCAGCGUGGUCCCUGCUGGCUGGGUUUGAGGGGCUGGGUCUCUCUGAGUGGAUGCUGGUGAGGUGCAGAGGAAGAAGAAAAGGUGCCUGAGGGCCUGUGUGGAAGGCCUGUCACACAGCACAUCCUGGGAAAUCUGUCCAGGAAGCAGCCAGGCGGGCAUCAGCCAGGCGGGCAUCAGCAUCUUCACUGUGCAGAUGAGAAACUGAGGCCGCAGAGGUGAAGGGACAUGCCCAGGAUCACUAAGGCAAGACGGGGGAAGAGCAGAGAUCUUGGGCAUGAUCUCGGCUCACUGCAACCUCCACCUCCCAGGUUCAAGGGAUUCUCCUGCUUCAGCCU
rnacentral:lncRNA from 1 species